rnacentral:tRNA from 2 species
GGGCCGAUAGCUCAGCCAGGCAGAGCGACUGGCUCUUAACCAGUCGGUCGAGGGUUCAAAUCCCUCUCGGCCCG